GCGGACAGAUCAUCAAUUGGGUCAUGGGGAUGCGGUCAACCUUCCAGACACGUCAUACCGACAGGACACGCGCUCAUUUAUGGUACGAAGUAAUAGAUGCACCACCACCAAACGCAUCGGGAGUAGAAUUUAGAGGCAAUAUUGAUUAAGAUUUCUAUUUUUAUAUGUUUUUAUGUUUUUUUUGUAUUAUUACAUGUACUAUUCAUUUGAAAAAAAUAUGUUUGUUCCUAA